rnacentral:misc_RNA from 1 species
AUGCUUCAUCUGAUUUUCAGAUUUUUGAAUUUUUGUUAUAGAUACAUAGUCUAUCUUUUAAAUCUCAACUUAAACUUAAGUAACUUCUUCAUACUUCAACUGCUUAUUUACAUAUUUUCAUGGAUUAUCUCAUGAUCGAUCGAAACUGAAGCUGCACAAUCAAUAUAAUAGCUUUUCAAAAAACUUGCCUAACUAAACAAAAUUAUUCUAUUGUAAGCAUGUAUCAAUUACUUUAUAAGAGAUGAACAUUCAUAAAGGAAACGUACAGUCUUUUUCUUUGAUUUAAGUACAUUGACAUUAUUUGUAAUUAAAUUAUUUCAAAGUAUCAAGGUAUUGUAAGCUUGAAAGCGGAAAUGAAAUAAGUCAAGUUUUAAAUACAUGUUAUUACUUUGAAAACUACAAGGCCAUUUCUUACCAUUUUUCAUUUGAAGCGUCUCUAUGAAACGAGAAUCUAAAUUGGGAAAUUUCUGACCCGGGCCUCAUGGUCGGUGCCAAAUAUGCCAAACAUUCAAAACAAAUCAAAAUCCUCGACUCUCACACAUGGAAAAAACACAUUUGCAAGGUUACGAAGUCCAUGAAGCUCAAUUUCAAAAUUGUGAAAUUCACGGCCUCUAGGUCAGAGGUUCAAGCCCAAAGGGUCAGGCAAAUAUGACCAUAUAAGUGAAAAUGUAUUAUCUAAAUCUUUAAAAAAUCCGCUCUACUUCUAUAUACAUUUGAGAAAAACUAAAUGCAUGGCUAUAAAUUAUGUGCAAGAAGCCCCCUAAUGAGAUUGUGGAAUUCGUUGCCCCUGGGUGAAAUAUUAGAAAGUAUUUUUCUAUUUUGUAAAAAUUGUUUUAUAUUAUAUUAUAAUCGUGAUUAAAAUCUAAUUUUGAAAAAAUUAAAA